GAAUAACUGAAUAAUACUUAAUUAAUAAAGUUGCAUUAUUUAUGCAAAGCAAUGAAUCCAGAGAUUUAUACGCAUGCGCUAUCGCGCUCAAUAAUAUAUAACUUUAUGUAAUGAAAUCAGUGCGAAUGAAUAAAAACAAGCCAGCUUGAAUCUUCGCGUAUUUCUGAACCUUUGCAGUACACUACAAAACUUGAAGCAUAAUUACUCAUUGGGUCUGCUUUGGAAAUUGAUUAAACUAAACAAUUGAGACACACAUAAUAUGCUAACAACGACUGCUAUUGCUACAAGUACUAGCAAAAGUCACCGCCUGCAACAAAUCCCAUUUACCAAACAAAACAAAUUAUAUACAACGGAUUCAUUUAGCGUUAAUAGUGUCGACAUGAGCACUUCUAUUGGUACAACGAUGUUAACUACGA